GACACGUGCUUGUCACCUGAGAGGGACAGGAAAUUGCGAGUGAAGAGAUGUGUUAAUCGAAUACGAAAACACAGGAAACACUGAGGAAUUUAUAUUCAUGAGGAAUUCAAAAAGAAAAGUGCCACACUGUUCGAACAUCGAGCAUGCUUCAAGACAACAUGCAGAACUGGGGGAUGUUUCGUACUUUUACCAUUUCUAACGGGUAGACCGGAAGCGACCAUGUAGGAGUCCCCGAUAGUCUCCACCUUGUAGACAUCGUAGCACUCGAUGCGUGCGUCGAACAGCUUGUAGAUCGAGUUAAGGAACGUUACCACCUGAAAGAAACGUAAAUUCCCACUGUAUUACACAAAUAAAAAUCUGGAUGUGAUUCCAUUGUAUUCCACGCGUAAAACGGAAAAUCAAUCACAGGAAGAUAGAUCAUCAGUUGCAACGCGUCGGUUUGGAAUCGUUGCGUGAGUCCCAUAGGAAUUCGCAUGGUAUGCACGCGAUUUCAUCACCGCGGCAACGAGCAAGAGCAUCCUGCUUCCACGUAAUUUGGAAACUCGCUUCGGGAUCGAUCGAUCAUUUCCC
rnacentral:lncRNA from 13 species